rnacentral:rRNA from 1 species
UACGUAGGGGGGCUAGCGUUGUCCGGAAUCAUUGGCGUAAAGCGCGUGUAGGCGGUCCGGUAAGUCCGCUGUGAAAGUCGAGGGCUCAACCCUCGAAUGCCGGUGGAUACUGUCGGGCUAGAGUGCGGAAGAGGCGAGUGGAAUUCCUGGUGUAGCGGUGAAAUGCGCAGAUAUCAGGAGGAACACCUAUUGCGAAGGCAGCUCGCUGGGACGGUACUGACACUCAACUACGAAAGCGUGGGGAGCAAACAGG